UGCAAAAAACUUGCCGUCACGUUAUCCUAAUUAACUCUGCUCCACCCUCUUUCGUCUUUCAGUUCUUUGAGCCCAUAACUCCAUCUCGAUCUGAUACCCCGAUGAUUACCCAGAUAUCCUCCUCGUCUCCUCCUCUUUCCAUCACCUCCUUGAGCUAUUUUCCUCUCUCGAUCUACCAAAUUCUGCAGAAUACAACCGACGACUAAAUGAACCGAUUUAGGUCAACUCCAUCGAGUUUAUCAGGAGAUCUACCAACCAGUCGUUCCUCUCAAUGUCAAAAGCCUAAUCUAAUACAUUUCACCUCACCCACCUGCAGCCCCAAUCGGCUGCAACGUUCCCGAGUUCACCUAUCUCUUCAAGAGGAAGGUUGAAAAAGGGAUUGAAAUCGAUAAGCUUCCAAAGUUUGAAGCUUUCAUUUUGGUUAGAUUUUAGAGCGAGCUCACGACUCGAUCUUCAAUCAUCCUUUCAUUUGUUGGACCUCCAUGGAUAGCUUCACUCUGUUCUUAUUCUUUUGACCCAGCCAAAUUGCAGCGUUAUUGAUAGAGCAUUCACAAUCUGCAUAAAUAGUUGGAAGAUUUAGCUAUUUCUCAUUUCUUUUGUGUGCUGGAUUUGAAUAGGUUGCACUAUCUUGGGCUUAACAGAGAGUGGCGGUAGUGUGGUUUUUUUGCUGUUGGUUUUCUUGGGUGAACAAACUAUUCUGCAUUUCAAUAUUAGAGAAAAGUUAGAAGCAGAAGAGAGAAUAUAUAAAAGCCAACAGGAUCAUGUACAUAUACCCUUGACCAUGUGCAGGUGGCAGCACUAUCUUGGAUUUUAUGCAAAAGAGUCUACAUAUCAUUUGGCUGCCACUGUUCCUUGGUCUACUGUUUAACGUUGUCUGCAUCUUUCAUUCUUAUUCAGCUUCUGGGCACAGUUUCUACUGCCUAUGCUUUCUGUUUUCAAAAAAGGCUCAGGGAGAUUUUCCUUAAGCAGGAUAAUCUUAUCUAAGGUCGUUUCCUUGCUGAGCUGACAAAGCAAGUGUUUUCUGAUCUUUCUGCCAGUAAAUAUCAGAUGGCUGAGCACAGAAUAUCAAAAUAUGGCAGGAAGCAAAGUGAGUGGGACCAAAUGGCUAGUUGGAUAGUGAACAAUGAAUUGUACAGUGAGAAUGUUGUAUGGUUGAUACAGCUGCCACGGCUGUACAAUAUAUACCAGGAAAUGGGGAUAGUCACAUCAUUUCAGAACAUUCUUGACAAUAUCUUUAUACCGCUGUUUGAGGUUAACAUAAAUCCAGAUUCCCACCCGCUGUUGCAGGUUUUUCUGAAACAGAUGCGGUUCAUGAUGUGUCUCAGCAUAUGGAAGAGCUUUUUGGUCUCUAAUGCCUCCUGAUCAAGGUAGAAUAUAUGCCCCAGUUGAGCUUUCGUCUUCUUUGUCAUUUAGGUUCUUUGUAUUAUAAUCUCUGUGUUCGAUCUGUGGCAUUUGUCUUCCUCUUACCAUAAGCUCUAUCUACUAUGUUUUGAUUCCAGGUUCAAGAUGCAUCCAGUGGCCAUGAAAUUAGAAGGGAGUCCAUAGGAGGAGUUCAUCCAGAUUCAACUAGUGAUCAAGAAUUUGAGCACGCUCCAGUACUCACCAAGCCCUCUAGUUAAUGAUAAAUAGUAUUGUGGUCAAGUCUGCUUUUGAACAAUAUUAAGUUUGGGAAUGUUUCUUCCAGAGUUUCAGUUAUCUAGUAUGGUAGAUUCUUAGUAGAUUCGUAUAAUUAUGAAAGACUGGUUUGUUUGGUUAAUUUCAAUUUAUACUUGGUAAUGAAAUAUAACUUGGCACUUAUCAGUUGUGAGAUAGCUAUGAAUGAAAGGAUUAUUUUGGUGCUUUA